GAAGACAUGUCAUGAAGUGACGGGAACCUCAUAUGCUGACACCAUCAAAUCAAAUCUCUAGCAGGAGGAAACUGUCCAUUGCAGAAAAACUACUACAAUGAUCGAUAUGACCUUAGGAGAAGUCCUGCUUUUCAGUGCCAGCUACUGAAGUGGAUGGGGUAUUUUGGGGUUAUCGUUCAGAGACAUUUGCAGAACUGUCGCUCAUUUAUUGUGAAAUGGUAAAAUGUACAAACUGGUGGCUUGCAGGUCCAGCUUCGAGACCUUCUGUUUGGCUCAUUGCUUCUUAAAAUUUUGAACUACUUGCCAACAUUUUAAACAUUAGGUGAAGCUGGUUCUUUAGAAUUUAGGGAGCAUGAUUCAGCCAUAUGGAGGCCAACACCUGCUCAGAGCUAGAAGGCCAACCAGCCAUGUGCUCACGUCCACAACUGCAAUAAUGUCUUGUAUCAGUGUGUAACAUGAGACCAAGAAUGUGGGGGUCACUGUCAUCUCCCAUCCAUGCCUGCCUGCUACUAAAGCGCUGUAUACAGAGGCCAUAUGUGAAGAGCAGCACUGGCAUUCAAGAAAUGUUAAAUAAUAAUGUAAAUGAGAAAAAUUUCCAAUCCCAAUAAUAAAGGAUCCAAGGAACAUUGACGCAACUUGCAAUCAUCAGAGCUGUUUGAUCGCCUUGUCACUGUGGGAUAGUGACCAAAGUGAUGCUAAUCUAAAUGUCAUCUAGAAAGAAUGCUAAAAAUAUUGUGGUGAAAAUUAAGUACUGCAACCUUAGGAGCUGAUUUAAAAAUUAGAAGAUAUAGCAAUUUACAUCUGUGGAUUUUAUGAUCGCCAAGUGCAACCAGAUGAACGUACUCACAUUUUCCUUUUCUUUCCCUCUCUCUUUGAGAAAAUGGGUUCAGUUUUAAAGAGCUGGCUCAAACUAAUGUUCCCUCAAUCAGUGGUUCUUAAACAUUGUUACAUUUUAGAAUCACUUGAGGAGAUUUUUAAAACAUAAUACUUAGGCCAUAUCCCAGAUUAACUAAAUCAGAACCCCUGCAGGAGCCAAGACAUCAGCAUUUUUCAGGCUCUCCAAGUGAUUCCAAUCUGCACCAAGUUUGACAACCAAGGUGUUAAAUAAGUGGGAUCUGAAGAUCAAAUGCCUUAGAAUUACCUGGAAGGAACAGAUUAAAAGUGCAGCCCAGCUCCAUCUAAGACUGGCUGAAUAAAAUUAUUUGAUGAUGGAGCCUCCUACUCUCCAUUUUAACAAACUCCCCGUGUGAUUUAUAUGCACACUAGAGUGUGAGAACUACUGCACAAGUUGAAAGUCAGUGGUGCUAACUGUUAUGCCUUUAGACCCAGAAUAAGUCUGUGUAAAAGACAAAAAAAAAAAAAAAAUCCAAGUAAAAGGGAGAAAUUUCAGCCCAUCAUUUGGGACUUUGGUUUUGGGGGCUUUGUUUGCACGUGGCUGUCCUCUGCAUUGUAGGAAAUUCAGAAACAUUUCUAGCCUCUACCCACUAGAUGACAAUAGGACUAUCCUUCCCCAGUAUGACAAUCAAAAAUGUCUCCAGAUAUUGCCAAAUGUCCCUUAGGGGAAAAGAUCACCAUUAGUCAAGAACCACUAUUCUAAAAGACGCCAAACAUGUGGAUGGUUCUGUGUCUUUAAGUACUUGGAAUUAUGCCAGCAAACAUCUUCCUGAUUGACCAGAUGUGUCUACUUUUGAUUAGGCGUUUUGGAUUCACAUAGGCAUAGUUUUUCACAGAGAUGUGGCACAGGCUUCCAGAGAAGGUGGGGGAAACUGGGUCAUCAGCAUCUGAGCGGUCACUAACGAUUUCCAGCUGCAGCAGAGCAGGGCUCUGCCUCCACCUCUGGAGCUGCUGAGUUAUUAAUAGGUAAAAAAUUAAUAAAUUAGGUAAAAACCUAUUUUUUUAACCUAAUCUGAAGCUGGUUGUGAGAUGACAAUAGGAAUGGGCUCUAUCAUUCAGUUAAAUUUAGGUUAAAGGGUGGAAUUUUGUUUCCAUGAGUCAUGAAUUCCUUAAUAAUUUGGGUCAAAGAAUAGAUAAUGUCUCCACAUGAAAAUAGUGUUUAUUCUGGUGAAAGAGGUUAGGAAAAUGGUUUGUCCAAUACCAAAAGGCUGUUAGUGUUCAAAGGAGACUCUUCCCUCAGUGGUCUAAAUCUCCAGAUAGACUAUGGGUUCCUCUACAAGGCCAAAAUUACCAGGAGGGCCAAACUGAUUUUGGACAUUGUUAGGACAAAAAUGGAAAACUUUUUAAUUAAUUCAGAUGACUGCUAUAGUAUUUCACCUUGAAAUGUUGAAAUUCGUAUCAAAUGGCUGAAUCUGGCCUCUCACAUCAUACACAAGUGCUACUAUUGGUCAGGCAGUAAGGCAGAGAGGUUGUGAAUCUAAGCUCCAAAGUCAGAAUCUCCAUGUUUGAAUUAGGCUCACACACUUAUUUGCUAUGGAGCAAGUGACUGAACUUACCUGAGCCUCAAACUACUCAUCUGUUAGAUGAGGAUAAUAAUACUUAUCUCAUAGAGAUGUAAUAAGGAUAAAAUGAGAGAAUAUACGUAAACAUCACUUCACACAAUGCCUGGCAUAUAGCAAGCACUUAUUAAAUGGUAGUGAUUAUCUUUAUUUUAAUUAAACUUUACGAAAUCUGACAACGGAUGAUUUCAUUUGUUAUUAUAACCCAUAGAAGAUAAUUUCUGAUGUUGAUGGAAUAUUAAAGAUGUUAUGAUUCUAUGUGCCCAUUUUGCAGAUGAGAAAAUUGAGGCCCAGAAAUGAGAUAUGAUAAUCCUAGAUUUAUGCAGAAUAGGCUCUAAUACUCAGAUCUUUAGAAUCUACGUAUAGCGCAGAUAUAGUGCAAAGAGGAAGAGCUUUGGACUCAGAAUAUCUGGGUUUGCCACUUAAAUGUACAGAUAUUCAGUUUCAUUAUCUGCCAAAUGGAUAUAAAAAUAGGUAACCUGAAAAUGUUAUAGCAAAUGAGACAGACGAUAUGAAAGCACUUUGUAAACUGCAGAAUGCUCCACAACUGAUACUUAAUAUUAUGAUUUCUUCUUCAUUAAAAAAAUUCAACGCAAAUAGACCCAGAAACACACAUAAUCCUCUCAAAGUACCAUUCAAAAUCCUUUUGGAUAGUUUUUCAGGCACAGGAAAUAGGUCAGGCUUGAUCAAGUGUGGCCAUUUACUCUCUGCUCUGUUUCAAUGCCAAUCACACCAAAAGCAGCACCUUGGACAGCAGCCAGAGAGGCUUCCUUCCGGCGCCUAUGACAUUCUCUCCCUACUUUCUUACUGGCUGCCAGUAACCGUUGCCUUGUAGUCUGACCCUCACAGGGAAACACAAACAGAAACUCCACUUCAUCUUCAUCUUUACAUACUCCAGGCUCAGAAGAUGGUUGUGCACAUAGAAUCAGGGUUUUCUUUGACCUUCACUGUUCGACCUGUAUACACUGACAGCCUGCCACAUUCCCUAGGAAGUGAAAGCUGGCAUUUUCAUUUGGUCUCCCCGCAAGUGAACUCCGUAUAUUUCAGAACUUAGAAAUAUUCCAGUGAAUAAAUUCAUAUUGAAGCAUAAAGCAUACCUGCUUGUGAACUUUGUGUAGCUUGACAAUGCCAGGUCAGAGCAUCAGUUUCAAAACCUCAACAACAAAACUUUAAAAUGUCAAUGUUAAUUUGGGGCAAGAGUAGGGAAGAUGAAGAAAGACAUAAGGAUAACAUUAGAGGUAAUUGUAAAUCUAGUUUAAAACGGAAAAAAGCCACCAAUUUGCCAUUUUAUCAAUUCCUGAAGACAGCAUUCUCAAAAGACCCAGGAAACAGGAGAGGAUAAACAUAAUAUUAGAACUUAAAAGAGGCUUCAAAGUGACCUCAUUACGUAAGUGAUUCUGUGAGGAGCCACGAAUUUAGUGAUAGGCUUUAUUUUGUGUCUUUGUUAUAAAUCAUUAUUUGAAGAUAGAUUUCUUUCAUGAGAUAAAUGUGGAACUGAGGGGGAUUUGCUGAAAACGAUGAAGUUACUAUAAAUGUAUAGACUCAUCUAUGCCAACCCAUUUUAUUUGCUCUUUAAACAUAAUUUCAAAAUUAUAAAGCACAGGUUGCUUAUUAUGAAUGACUUGGUAAGGUACCAGGCUCCUCACUAGAUGCCACUAAAAAAAGCAAUCUGACUCAUGAUUCUAUUUACAUACUGCUCAAUUAGUUUUUUCAAUAUGAACAUGUUUUAAGAGUCACUAGACACCUGACUCAAAUUCAGUCCUAAUACAUGGUAUUUUUGCCCAUUGCUAGGAUUUUUUUUUAAAGUGUGCCAUUGAAAAACCUUAAAGAAGCAGAGACUCCAAAGCUUGCUGUUUGUUAAAGUGGAAGUUGUGGUCUGGAUGAGGGGAUAAGGCAAGGAAGGUCACAGACAUUGAAAAACACAAGCCAAUAUACACGUAACU